CCAGAAGUGGUUAAAAAAAAAUUCUUACAUCUAUCUUCUUCACAGGUUUUGACUUCUUGGAAGAGAAAAUUGGAUGAUUUAUGCACAGUUUGUCCUACCUGGAACAUGCAGGAUGCAGCCGAAGCCAAACUGUCCCUGAGUUCUCAGUGAAGUUGCUGUGGUGCGGCCACCUGAGAGGAAUCCUGUGUGGGAGGCAUCCGCCACCGCUACAGCUGGCUUUUUGUGUGUUCACAGCAAGUAAAUCAGGUAACAGGACACUCAGGGCCUAAGAUGACAGGCCUGAUGGCGCCCCACGUGACAGCGUACACAGGAGGCUGGGCCCGCUGCUCUCAAAGCUCCCUCAAGCAGGCACCUUCUGCAUCAGUGGGCAUCGAGCAGAGAGACCAAGUGAGCAGCAGAGACGCCCCACCCUCCCCAAUUCUGCUGGGGCUGCUGAUCGCCAGCUUACUAAAGUGUACUUAAAGACCACUCUGCGGCGGGUGGGCUGGGGCUGGGGCCAGAGGUAGUGCAUUUGCC